CGUAUGCAGGCGCGACGAACACGGUAGAGGAGGUGGAGGUAGAGGUCGACGAGGUUAAGAUGGAAGCGGAGGACCAUUUGGCGAGGGAGUAUGUGCAGGAGUUUGUCCUCGAUCAUCUGGACCCCGCCGACGUCAAGCGAGAGAGACAUCACUUGCUACUUGGGUCGAAAGGCCACACGAGCAACGAGCCACUCAUCAGCGACGCGAACGGCUGUCGCGCGUUGCAGGUGCGAAUGGGCUCGCCGACCGUGAUGGUGAACGGUAGCGUGGUGCAACUUUCGGGACCGGUGCAGCCGCAGGGCUUGACCUUGGCGCCGUUGACGCCGCCUGCGCACGAGCUGGAGCAGCCCCAUCCGCUGUACGGGCAGCCGCACAUUCAGGUGCAGCACGGCGUCCUGGUGAAGGCACCGCCUGGCACCGCGGCGCAUCUCACCACGCUGUCGCACCCGGGCACGCCGCCGGACACUCCGCCGGUCUCGGCCUCACCGCCGCCGCCGCUGCAGCUGCAUCGCGGCGACCGCGAGCUGCGGGAGCCGCGCGAUGGCCGCGACCGCGGCGGCAUCCUGCUGCAGUUGCAGCAACCGCCGGCGCUGGUGCAGGAGGAGAUACAGGUCAGCGCGGGCGGCAUGGGCUGGCUCACGCAGUCGUUGCGGCAGGAACCGCUGGACCUGAGGCCCCAUUGCCCUCAGGAGCAAACCCCGGAGCCGCACCACGAGCCUUGGUCGACCACGUCGGCGCACCAUCAUUUCCAGGAGUUGCAGCACCUGCCGCGACCUACCAGACACGCGGGCUACUUGACGAUGUCGAGUCACCUCGAUUACUACGGUGGUCCUGGCACAGGGAGCGGGAUGCUUCCCGCCGGCGGGGGUGUGCUGCAGGGGAUAGAGGACAGCAUGCAGGGCAUGUCCUUGCAGCCGGGCAGGCCCUUGAGCGUGUGCUCGGUGAGCUCCUGCGGCGCCGGCGGGCCCAGCCCGGCUCACCGAGCCGGCAACGGUCUCUACUCCAACUGCAACGGCUCGAAUGCUCAGGAGGAGCUGAUGAAUGACGAGCUCCUAAUGUCGCUGUCGGUGCGCGAACUCAACAAACGCCUCCACGGCUGCCCGCGGGAGGAGGUUGUGAGGCUGAAGCAAAAGCGGCGGACGCUGAAGAAUCGCGGUUACGCGCAGAAUUGCCGCAGCAAGCGGCUGCAGCAACGCCACGACCUCGAAACCACCAACCGGAAUCUGCAGAACGAGCUGCAACGCACGAAGGUCGAGCUGUCGCGGCUGCAGCAGGAGUGCGAUCUUUACAAGCAGCGGUACGAGAUGCUGAGGACGCAGCAGAGUCACCAUCACAAUCACAGUCAGAGCCAUCACCAACAACAGACGUCGCAGCAGCAGCAGCAGCAGCAGCAGCAGCAGCAGCAGCAGCAGCAGCAGCAACAGCAGCAGCAGCAGCAGCAACACCGGACCCAGCAGACCCAGCAGCCACACCCGCAGCAGCAGCAGCAACAGCAACACCAACCGGCACCUGCGAGCCCCGAAGUCUACCUGUGACAUCGACAGCGCCGAGGAGGCGCUUGUUGGACUUGAAGAAUCUUCCAUUGCCGGUUGAUCAGUGGAUUCUCCAUUGCUUGACCACGGAUCGCGAAGAAUCGGCGGGAUUGCGAGAAGCAGUUUCUCAGUCGAGACUUAAGCCCUAAGCACACUCUAAGCUACACGUGUAUAUAACGCUCAAUUUCCCGAUUUAUAUGUCGCAGUUCUUUUUGGUUCUUUUCUUUUCGGGCUGUGACACGCCGAGAGCUCGGCUGUCGAGCUGACCUUGACGAGAACAUGUAAGCGGUUAUCUCGCGUAACUGAAGUAUCAAUAGGUUAAAGGUAUCUAGAUGAAUCGACUUUAGCGUAUAUGUGUUAGGCGAUUUGGUCGAACAUUGUCGAACGGGCGGAACAAGGGACAAAGAGGUCGCCGGAGCGGAGUGCAAAGCUCCGAGAGAAAAGCUUACGUUAAGUGACGUAGUAUUAAGGAAUCUCCGUGUCCUGUUUGUUAUGUAAUUUUUAGCAAAUGGUUUUAUAUAGUUACGGUUUAGUUAUUAAUAACACGAUUAGAAAUAGAUACGCGUGCGGGCGCUCGGUAUCACCGUGUGAGUGGCGAGGUUUCAGACGAGGGUUGAAGCCGCUCGGGAUCUUGAGAGUUGUUUCUCAAGUUGCGUAGAUAGAUCGCGCAAUUUUUAACAUGGAUUAGCAUUCGCGCGCGCGCGUAACUUGUGGCGUGGAUUGAACAAGGAAUAAGCAAUCGUUGCGAUUGGUGGCGAGACUUUGGACUACGUAAUUGAGACGUCAGAGUGUUAACCGGCGACGUGAGUCGUCAGGCGAAUUCUGUUUGAAAAUUAUGAACGCUACCGCACGACGAAAUAAAGCAAAAUUCUGCAUGCUAAUACACAAUUUCUGGCGUCCGCUCAGUCCGCGAGUCGAGUAUCUGAUUUUACGUACGUAUUGAAAAAGAAGCUUCCGAAUUGCAACUUGAUCCUGAAGAAAAUUUCCGCCAUUACUUAACGCGAUAUUUUCUGUUACUCCCCCGCGCAGUCUCGCAGUCUCGCGCAGUCUCGCGAUCAAAUUUGAUUCUCCGGUUUCAUUCGCGACGCAGUAGACCCAUUUCCCGUCUAUUUGUCCCACUUGAUCUCAGCGAUUACUCGAGCAAGAUUCCGAUCGUGUUUCAAACCGUCCUGUCUAAAAUCGCUUGGGAUUUUAUUUAUAUACAUCCGAAUGGCUAUGCGUGUCGAGGAAUAACACUUGGUACACGCGCGCGUUCUAUUUAUCGGAAAUUGAAACCUUGUUAUGUGGUUUCGGUACGUCCAACUUUCUGUUCGAUCCAACAGAUAUGGGAAAGUGCGUCAUGAACUCGUUAAUAUCCACCGGAUAGAUAAAUUUUCGAUCCAAUGCAUCGUGUCUGGAUACUGAUGUAUGUCAUAAUUAUAUUCGUAUGUUACAAGGAGCACAGAUGACGAUCAUUCAGUAAAUGACAAUUAGCAGUUGACACAUUAUAUGAAACUAGAAGAAGAAACUAAAACUUUAUUCCAUAUUAAAUGAAAUUGUCAAAAGUUAGCUUCGAUUUCUGUCUUCAGCAUAUAGUUAAAUUUUAAAUUUGAAUUGUAUUAUUUAUGCAUGUCAUUUGCCAGUGCCUUUUCAUUUUUAUCACUUUCCAUCGAUCCUCCUUCCUGUCGCCAGGAAAUCUUGUAUAAAACCAUACGACAUCGAAUUGUGCACAUGUUCUUCAUCAAAAUGUAAAAGGAGAAAAAUACAAGAAAAUUUACGAAAAAUUUUUUGUUAGUUAGAGAGAUUGAUAAUUUCAGAGGGCAUUAUUUUCUCAUGCUGCGAAUAGAAAUGUGUUUAGUGUUUGAUUGAAUUAUUAGUGGCGUUUCACGUCUUAACGGACUUUGCACUACAUAAGAUGGGCUUAAGACGUUUCUCUGAGAGGAUCUCGCAAACGACCAGAAUAAAUUUUUAUA
rnacentral:misc_RNA from 1 species